CAUCCUCACACUGAAGAACUGCAAUCAUUCACAAGUCAGCGGUUGGUUCAAAUAAAGGAAAACACUUUCCAGCUGUAUUUGUUAGGAGCCACAGUAAAAGCAAUGCUGAAAAUCAGGACAACAUUCCAGAGCCUGAACACUAGACCAGCCAAACACAAAGAAAUCUUGCCCAUGAGUUUAUGUAUUCACACUCUUCACAGAAAAGAUGAAAAUGUUGGGUUUGAAUCUGUCUGCCAGAUGGUUCUCAGAACAGGAAAAACUGGAAUCAUCAACAAUUGUAUGAAAAUACAAGUACGGGAGAUUGCAGGAGAAAGAUGUUCUUGAAAAGUUACUUUAGAAAGAGAAACAAAUAUGGAUCUACACAUAUUUCAGAUUCUCACAGAAUUACUUCUGAAUGAAGCCUACAGAACAACUUGGGAACUCAACAAAGAUUACCAGCUAUUGGGAUUUCUGGAAAGAUCGGAAUCCAUAAAAGCCCCUUCAAACCACAAUGACUCAAAAGAAACACUAUGUUCCGAAGUUGGAGAACCCAUUUGCUCUUCCAGCUCAUGACUACACAGUCCAAAUGUCAAUGUUUACUUUUCUCAUCCUUGCUUAGCCUCUACAAACCAUUCCUAAAUGCUGUUGGUUCAGAAGAAGACUAAGAGCACGGCAGUGCCCUUUGCUUUGAUAACAUCCUGUUGUUCUGAGCCAUAUGGGAAAUGAAGAAUUCUAAAGAGUUAAGUAUUGUGAAGAGCUGUUUACCAUUUAUAGGAUGCCUGUACUUUGUACCUAGGGGUCUACAGUUAUCUUUGCUAAUCACACACAUGCAAAGGUUACAAGUCUGACUCCUUUAUUAAUUGUAUUUUCCACACCCCCACCCCCAAGCAAAGCCUCAUUCACCUUUAAUACCAUAGCACAAACUAAUUUCAAACCAUCAAAUGUUGAGUGAAUUCUACAACUAGGUAAGUAAAAGCAUUUUAAAUCUUGUUGAGCUGAACUGGAGUUUAUCAGUUUUCCCUACACUAUAAUGUUAAAGUUUCUUUUCGUUACAUGAUCUGUGCUUGGAUCUAAAACCAUGCCCAAAAUGUUCUGUUUAGUUUUUGCUUCUGCAUGAAAAGGCAUUUGAACACAUAAAAUGUUCAAAUAAAAUCUCA